AUUUUCUCUGAUUGAAUUGUACCACAUAAAUUUGUAAACGUUUAAGAAAUGCCAUCAUUGGAAGUGAACACGAGAGGAAAAUUUUUUUUUUGCACUGGGGUGACCAGACUCGGGCAGAGGCGAGGGUGCCCUCGGCAAGAUUGAGCGAGAUCUGGAAGAGGCAGAAGAUGAAGGAAGCCCAGCCAGGGCUCAGCGGGGACGCUGGCGAGGAGUGGGGUCCGAUGGGAGUGAACAAGGAGGCCUCGAGCUGAGACUGGUCGGUGUGGACAAGCGAGGGGAAAAAGUAAAACGUGACAGUGCAUUAUUUUAUUAUUUUGGGGACUUUUCUCAUCGUCGUGGAGUGGAGGGUUCACGUGUGCAAGGGGAGAACCGUUCUGGAACAACGAGAAAAAGGACGUACACGAGGCGGUUCAUCUGGAAGGAAUGUUAGGAUAAAGGGGAAGGUCAAAACCCGUGUAUAGCUAUGGGAAGAGCGAAUCAAAAGAAAACGGGGCCCAGACCUACCUGGCAGUUUCUUCGUCCGGAACGAGGCGUUGGUUAUCAUCGAUUUAGAGAUUACGGCCGAUGUCGUCACUGCUGGCGAUAUGGCAAGACUGAUACCCAUCGGGUUUUCCGUUAUUUGACCUAAAGCACAAAAAAGUCGGUUAGCCAUUAAAACUUAAGUUUUUACUAUAUUGGCAACAAACCAGUGUAAGUGGCACGGCUGUUUUUGAUGGCAUUUGAAACUAACAUAACAUCGGUAUAACUCUGAUAGCAAGCCCUCUGGUGGACCUCUUCUACUGCUUGCAGAGCCAACACACUAUCACCAUUAAAA
rnacentral:lncRNA from 1 species